rfam:Lingula anatina scaffold227, whole genome shotgun sequence.
CUAACGGCCCUUUUUAGGGCCACUACAUAAUGAGAAAAGCAUUAAU